rnacentral:pre_miRNA from 1 species
AGUGGAAUUGCUGGGUCAUAUGGUAGUUCUUUUUUUAGUUUUUUGAGGAACUGUCACACUGUUUUCCACAACAGCUGUACCAUUUUGCAUUCCCACCAGCAAU